AGAGUUUGAUCAUGGCUCAGAUUGAACGCUGGCGGCAUGCUUAAUACAUGCAAGUCGAACGGUAACAGGUCCUUCGGGAUGCUGACGAGUGGCGGACGGGUGAGUAAUGCAUAGGAAUCUGCCCAGUAGUAGGGGACAACCUGAGGAAACUCAGGCUAAUACCGUAUAAGUCCUACGGGAGAAAGGGGGCCUCUUCUUGAAAGCUCUCGCUAUUGGAUGAGCCUAUGUCGGAUUAGCUUGUUGGCGGGGUAACGGCCUACCAAGGCGACGAUCCGUAGCUGGUCUGAGAGGACGAUCAGCCACACUGGGACUGAGACACGGCCCAGACUCCUACGGGAGGCAGCAGUAGGGAAUAUUGGACAAUGGGCGAAAGCCUGAUCCAGCAAUGCCGCGUGUGUGAAGAAGGCCUGCGGGUUGUAAAGCACUUUCAGUUGGGAAGAAAAUCUUUAGGUUAAUAUCCUAAAGUCUUGACGUUACCAACAGAAGAAGCACCGGCUAACUCUGUGCCAGCAGCCGCGGUAAUACAGAGGGUGCGAGCGUUAAUCGGAAUUACUGGGCGUAAAGCGUGCGUAGGCGGUUAAGUCAGUCGGAUGUGAAAGCCCAAGGCUUAACCUUGGAACGGCAUUCGAUACUGCUUAGCUAGAGUACAGUAGAGGGAAGC
rnacentral:rRNA from 1 species